rnacentral:rRNA from 1 species
UGGCGCACGGGUGCGUAACGCGUGGGAAUCUGCCCAAAGGUUCGGAAUAACUCAGGGAAACUUGAGCUAAUACCGGAUAAUGUCGCAAGACCAAAGAUUUAUUGCCUUUGGAUGAGCCCGCGUAGGAUUAGCUAGUUGGUGGGGUAAAAGCCUACCAAGGCGACGAUCCUUAGCUGGUCUGAGAGGAUGAUCAGCCACACUGGGACUGAGACACGGCCCAG